rnacentral:rRNA from 1 species
GGUAGAGCACUGAAUGUCCUAGGGGGUAUUGCACUUACCGAAGACUAUCAAACUCCGAAUGCCGUAUUCUUUUGCUUGGGAGUCAGACUAUGGGUGAUAAGAUUCAUAGUCAAGAGGGCAACAGCCCAGAUCGUCAGCUAAGGUCCCUAAAUGUAAGUUAAGUGGUAAAGGAUGUGGAAUUGCACAGACAACCAGGAUGUUGGCUUAGAAGCAGCCACUCAUUUAAAGAGUGCGUAAUAGCUCACUGGUCGAGUGAUUCUGCGCCGAAAAUUUCCGGGGCUAAAACUUACUACCGAAGCUACGGCAUCAUUAUGAUGGGUAGGGGAGCUUUCUAUGCGGCUUGAAGCAUGACCGUAAGGACAUGUGGACUGCAUAGAAGUGAGAAUGUUGGCAUGAGUAGCGAGAUGUGGGUGAGAAUCCCACAGGCCGUAAACCCAAGGUUUCCAGGGGAAGGUUCGUCCGCCCUGGGUUAGUCAGGACCUAAGCCGAGGCCGAAAGGCGUAGGUGAUGGACAACAGGUUGAUAUUCCUGUACCACCAAUAACCGUUUGAGAAAUGGGAUGACACAGUAGGAUAAGCUAACCGCACUGUUGGUUAUGUGCGGGCAAGUAUUGAGGCAGUUCCGAUAGGCAAAUCCGUCGGAAUAAUGCUGGGGUACGAUGCGGAGCGAAAUUUAGUAGCGAAGUAGCUGAUUUCACACUGUCGAGAAAAGUCUCUAUCGAGGUUAAAGGUGCCUGUACCGCAAACCGACACAGGUGGGUGAGGAGAGUAUCCUAAGGCCAGCGAGAGAACUGUUGUUAAGGAACUCGGCAAAAUGACCCCGUAACUUAGGGAGAAGGGGUGCCUUCGAAAGAAGGCCGCAGAGAAUAGGCCCAAGCGACUGUUUACCAAAAACAUAGGUUUCUGCUAAGUCGCAAGACGAUGUAUAGGAGCUGACGCCUGCCCGGUGCUGGAAGGUUAAGGGGAUCUGUUAGAGCAAUCGAAGCAGUGAACUUAAGCCCCAGUAAACGGCGGCCGUAACAAUAACGGUCCUAAGGUAGCGAAAUUCCUUGUCGGGUAAGUUCCGACCCGCACGAAAGGCGUAACGAUUUGGGCACUGUCUCAACAACAGACUCGGUGAAAUUGUAAUACCGGUGAAGAUGCCGGUUACCUGCGACAGGACGGAAAGACCCCAUGGAGCUUUACUGUAGCUUGACAUUGAGUCUCGGUGCUACAUGUACAGGAUAGGUGGGAGACUAUGAAGCAUGGACGUCAGUCUGUGUGGAGUCAUCCUUGGGAUACCACCCUUGUAGUACUGGGAUUCUAACCAGAGGCCAUGAAUCUGGUCUUGGGACACUGUCAGGUGGACAGUUUGACUGGGGCGGUCGCCUCCCAAAAAGUAACGGAGGCGCUCAAAGGUUCUCUCAGUACGGUCGGAAAUCGUACGAAGAGUGUAAAGGCAAAAGAGAGCUUGAUUGCAAGACAUACAGGUCGAGCAAGGACGAAAGUCGGACUUAGUGAUCCGGUGGUUCCGCAUGGAAGGGCCAUCGCUCAACGGAUAAAAGCUA